GGCAUGGAUUAGGCAUGCAAGUCGAACGGGAUCUGAGAUAUUCAAGUAGCAAUAUGAGAAUAUUUCAGUGAGAGUGGCGAAAGGGUGAGGAACACGUGAGUUACCUGCCCCUAAGUUUGGAAUAACCUUCCGAAAGGAGGGCUAAUGCCGAAUGUGGAUUACCCGUAAGGGGGACAUCUAAAGGUUUACCGCUUAGGGAUGGGCUCGCGUCCUAUCAGCUUGUUGGUGAGGUAAUGGCUUACCAAGGCAAUGACGGGUAGCUGGUCUGAGAGGAUGGUCAGCCACACUGGGACUGAGACACUGCCCAGACUCCUACGGGAGGCUGCAGUCGAGAAUCUUCCGCAAUGGGCGCAAGCCUGACGGAGCAAUGCCGCGUGAAGGAUGAAGGUCUUCGGAUUGUAAACUUCUGUCACUGGGGACGAAUAAAUGACGGUACCCGGAGAGGAAGUCACGGCUAACUACGUGCCAGCAGCCGCGGUAAUACGUAGGUGACUAGCGUUGUUCGGAUUUAUUGGGCGUAAAGGGUCCGCAGGGGGCCGGCUAAGUCUGAUGUGAAAUACCAAGGCUCAACCUUGGAACUGCAUUGGAAACUGGUCGGCUAGAGUAUCGGAGAGGAGAAUGGAAUUCCUGGUGUAGCGGUGGAAUGCGUAGAUAUCAGGAGGAACACCAAAGGCGAAGGCAGUUCUCUGGACGAUUACUGACCCUCAGGGACGAAAGUAUGGGGAUCAAACAGGAUUAGAUACCCUGGUAGUCCAUACUGUAAACGUUGUGAACUUGACGUGGGAGGAUUUAGUCCCUUCCGUGUCGUAGCUAACGCGAUAAGUUCACCGCCUGGGGACUACGGCCGCAAGCUAAACUCAAAGGAAUUGACGGGGGCUCACACAAGCGGGGAAUCAAA
rnacentral:rRNA from 1 species